rnacentral:rRNA from 1 species
AACGAACGCUGGCGGCAGGCUUAACACAUGCAAGUCGAGCGCCCCGCCAGGGGAGCGGCCGGCGGGUGGGUAACGCGUGGGAACGUACCUUUUGGUUCGGAACAACUCCGGGAAACUGGAGCUAAUACCGGAUAAGCCCUAACGGGGAAAGAUUUAUCGCCGAAAGAUCGGCCCGCGUCUGAUUAGCUAGUUGGUGGGGUAACGGCUCACCAAGGCGACGAUCAGUAGCUGGUCUGAGAGGAUGAUCAGCCACACUGGGACUGAGACACGGCCCAGACUCCUACGGGAGGCAGCAGUGGGGAAUAUUGGACAAUGGGCGCAAGCCUGAUCCAGCCAUGCCGCGUGAGUGAUGAAGGCCUUAGGGUUGUAAAGCUCUUUUGUCCGGGAAGAUAAUGACGGUACCGGAAGAAUAAGCCCCGGCUAACUUCGUG